UUUACAGAUAAGUAAACUGAGGCUCAGAGAGGUGGAAUAGCCCACCUGAGUUCACUCAGCAGGACGAUGGCUGAGCACAAUUUAGAAGCUGGUCAGGAAAACGUGCACCCUUUGGCAGCCCUGCUACAAAAGCCUGCUCUUCUCCUCCUCCCACCCUCCCUUCCUGCCCUGUUUAAGCUUCUGCUGCCAGUGCUCAGGGCAGGAGAGAAGCAGGGAUAAAGAUGCCAUUCAGACAAAUUGGAGCCAACGGGGGCAGGUGUUGGGGGGGGCACAAGUGGGAGGGGAGAAGGAACAUGUCUGCUGCCCUGGCAGCCAGUCCCUGCCUUUCCACUCCCUCAAUCCCCUUGGAACUUCUGGAUUCUCAGCUCUUGGCUUCCGCAAACCAAAAACUGAUCCACUUGGCCUCAUGGGGCUGGGCUCGCUCUCCCCGUCAUCUAAUUUCCUUCCCUGACAGCAUUUGGAGUUUCCUUGCUGGGCAACUGUGAAGGUCUGAAAUCAUCUAGUGAAUGGAUUUGGUGCAGAGUAAGUGCAUGACAGUUGUUGAAGAUGACUACUGAUCAUUUGGGAUCCUUCACAUCUCCUCCACCAGGAAAGAAAGCUGGACUGCGCAGGUCGGGAAGAUUCCGGGGAGAUGCACAGCCUUUGCGUUCUGGGCUCAUCUGGCCUUCAACGUGUGAUUUUGAGAGUUGGAAGCGAGAAGAUUAUAACUCAGAAUGGCACGCGGGUGUGAAGCCGGCUGCCUUGCCAGCUAUUUGCCUGUAUUUAAAACACAUAUGGGUGAUAUUUUUAAAUAUCUUUGCUGUGUGAUUGAAAAACAUUGCAGUUGCUACUUCGUGGACGUGGGUUUUUAUGCAAACCCAGGGACGGAAUGAUGAGUGUAUGUUGUA
rnacentral:lncRNA from 1 species